GGGAUUGUGGAAACCAAAAUGAAGUAUGUUUACUUUCUUGUGCUGUUUAUUGGCUGAAACUAUGAUGCUUUAUACCUGUUGUCGAUGAUGGUCAAACUUCUCAUCAUGACAUGUUAAAAUGUGUUUAUACUUCCUAGAGAUUGAGAUUUUUAGUUACUUAUGUUUUUUUAGCUGAAUCUAACUGCAUAGCUUUGCCUUGGGUAUGAUUCUACUACUUGGAUCUUGUAGGCUAGAUUUAGAUGGAGAAAAUCU
rnacentral:misc_RNA from 1 species